CACUCUCCUAUCGACUCCUCUACUCCACCGCCAUGAGAGGCACAGGUGGAAUUGACUUGGGAGUGGCAGCAGUUGACCGACCACAGUGAAGGCACAGUGAG